GGCGGCGUGCUUAACACAUGCAAGUCGAGCGAUGAAGUUUCUUCGGAAAUGAAUUAGCGGCGAACGGGUGAGGAACACGUGAAGAAUCUGCCCUCCACUUUGGGAUAACACCGGGAAACCGGUGCUAAUACCGAAUAUUGAAACAUAAGUGGCAUCACUGAGUUUUGAAAGAAUUUCGGUGGAGGAUGACUUCGCGGCCUAUCAGCUAGUUGGUGAGGUAAUGGCUCACCAAGGCAACGACGGGUAGCCGGCCUGAGAGGGCGACCGGCCACACUGGGACUGAGACACGGCCCAGACUCCUACGGGAGGCAGCAGUGGGGAAUAUUGGGCAAUGGAGGAAACUCUGACCCAGCGACGCCGCGUGCGGGAUGAAGGCCUUCGGGUUGUAAACCGCUUUCAGUAGGGAAGAAGCGAAAGUGACGGUACCUACAAAAGAAGCACCGGCUAACUAUGUGCCAGCAGCCGCGGUAAUACAUAGGGUGCAAGCGUUGUCCGGAAUUAUUGGGCGUAAAGAGCUCGUAGGUCGUUUGUUACGUCGGAUGUGAAAACCUGAGGCUCAACCUCAGGCCUGCAUUCGAUACGGGCAAACUAGAGUUUGGUAGGGGAGACUGGAAUUCCUGGUGUAGCGGUGGAAUGCGCAGAUAUCAGGAGGAACACCAAUGGCGAAGGCAGGUCUCUGGGCCAAUACUGACACUGAGGAGCGAAAGUCUGGGGAGCGAACAGGAUUAGAUACCCUGGUAGUCCAGACCGUAAACGGUGGGCACUAGUUGUGGGAACCUUCCCACGG
rnacentral:rRNA from 1 species